rnacentral:rRNA from 1 species
UACGAAGGGGGCUAGCGUUGCUCGGAAUUACUGGGCGUAAAGGGCGCGUAGGCGGAUAGUUUAGUCAGAGGUGAAAGCCCAGGGCUCAACCUUGGAAUAGCCUUUGAUACUGGCUGUCUUGAGUUCGGGAGAGGUGAGUGGAAUGCCGAGUGUAGAGGUGAAAUUCGUAGAUAUUCGGCGGAACACCAGUGGCGAAGGCGACUCACUGGCCCGAUACUGACGCUGAGGCGCGAAAGCGUGGGGAGCAAACAGG